rnacentral:misc_RNA from 1 species
AGCAGCCGCGGUAAUUCCAGCUCCAAUAGCGUAUAUUAAAGUUGCUGCAGUUAAAAAGCUCGUAGUUGAAUUUCGGGACCAUCAUGUUGGUCGUGCCUCGGUACGUACUGGCAUUGUUGGUUUCUCCCUUCUGACGAACCAUGAUGUCAUUUAUUUGGUGUCGUGGGAAAUCAGGACUGUUACUUUGAAAAAAAUUAGAGUGUUUAAAGCAGGCUCACGCUUGAAUACAUUAGCAUGGAAUAAUGAAAUAGGACGUUUGAUUCUAUUUUGUUGGUUUCUAGGAUCGACGUAAUGAUUAAUAGGGAUAGUUGGGGGCAUUAGUAUUCAAUUGUCAGAGGUGAAAUUCUUGGAUUUAUUGAAGACUAACUACUGCGAAAGCAUUUGCCAAGGAUGUUUUCAUUAAUCAAGAACGAAAGUUAGGGGAUCGAAGACGAUCAGAUACCGUCGUAGUCUUAACCAUAAACUAUGCCGACUAGGGAUCGGAUGAUGUUAAUUUUUUAAUGACUCAUUCGGCGCCUUA